rnacentral:rRNA from 1 species
AGUGAACGCUGGCGGUAGGCCUAACACAUGCAAGCCGAACGGCAGCACAGUAAGCGUUCGCUCUUACGGUUGGCGAGUGGCGGGCGGGUGACGCAUACAUCGCAUUCUACUAUUUCUGGGGGGAUAACGUAGGGCCACUUAUGCUACCACCGCAUAUGUCGUACGGGUGAAAGCAGGGGAUCAUCGGGCCCUGCGUGUCAGAUUGAGCCGACGUCGGAUUAGCUAGUUGACGUGGUAAGGGCACACCAAGGCGACGAUACGUAGCAGGGCUGAGAGGAUGAUCGGCCACACUGGAACUGAGACACGGUCCAGACUCCUACGGGAGGCAGCAGUAGGGAAUCUUGCGCAAUGGGCGCAAGCCUGACGCAGCCAUGCCGCGUGAGUGAUGAAGGCCUUCGGGUCGUAAAGCUCUUUUAUUAGGGAAGAACAGAAGCAGAAUAAUCUGCCGAUAUUCUGACGGUACCUAAUGAAUAAGCCCCGGCUAACUUCGUG